AUUGAACGCUGGCGGCAGGCCUAACACAUGCAAGUCGAGCGAGCGGCGGACGGGUGAGUAAUGUCUGGGGAACUGCCUGAUGUAGGGGGGUAACUACUGGAAACGGUAGCUAAUACCGCAUACCAUCAGAUGUGCCCCGAUGGGAUUAGCUAGAAGGUGGGGUAACGGCUCACCUAGGCGACGAUCCCUAGCUGGUCUGAGAGGAUGACCAGCCACACUGGAACGGAUACAGGGUCAAGACUCCGACGGGAGGCAGCAGUGGGGAAUAUUGAACAAUGGGCGCAAGCCUGAUGCAGCCAUGCCGCGUGUGUGAAGAAGGCCUUCGGGUUGUAAAGCACUUUCAGAGGGGAGGCGUUACCCGCAGAAGAAGCACCGGCUAACUCCGUGCCAGCCGCCGCGGUAAUAC
rnacentral:rRNA from 1 species